GUCAUAAGCCUCUCUCCCCUCGCCCCACAGCCGAAACCGAAGAACCCGAGAAGCGAAGGCGAGAGAAGGGGACAGCAGCGGGCGAGACAGAGAGAGGCGAGGAGACGACAGCACCGCCGCCAUGAGCGCCCUCAAGUUCUGCAGCAAAUGCGACAACAUGCUGUACCCGCAGGAGGACAAGGAGAUGCACAUCCUCCUCUACGCCUGCUCGAAUUGCCAGCACCAGGAGAUUGCUACUGAUUCUUGUGUGUACAAAAGGGUUCUUCGGAAAUCUGCUGAUGAACCUAAAGACACCCUAAAAGACGCAGCUGCUGAUGCGUCUCUGCCACGCACCAGAAGUGUUAAAUGCUACAACUGUGGCUAUCCAGAAGCUGCUUAUUUCCAGGCCCCGACGAAGGGAGAGGUUGGCCUGACGCUAUACUUCAUCUGCUGCAGCCCUACCUGUGGCCACAGGUGGAGGGACUGACUGACUGACAAGGGGGAACCCUCCACAGAAGGGAGUAUGUUCGUUUGACCUUGAAGAGUUCUUAGGAUGCGGUGGCUGUGCAUCUUCCCUGUUUCAUUACCUAGGCACUUAUCAGAUGCACAUGCCUGUAGUUUGUCAUUCAGAG
rnacentral:rRNA from 1 species